rnacentral:tRNA from 1 species
GGGGAGAUGCCAGAGAGGCCGAAUGGAGCCGCCUGCUAAGCGGUUGAGGGGCCUAAUCGCUCCUCCCAGGGUUCGAAUCCCUGUCUCCCCGCCA